CUCCAUGAUUGCGGGUUGGCAGA
rnacentral:siRNA from 1 species